AGGUAUGUAGCUCAGUGGAAAGAGUGUUAGAUUCCGAUUCUAAAUGUCAAGGGUUCAACUCCCUUCAUACCUA
rnacentral:tRNA from 1 species